AGCACAUCUUUGUACAGUAGGCGAAUAUAUUUGGAAUGCUUAUUUCUGAGAGCUGUUGAAGACGGCUAACAAUUUUACACCACGCAGAAGGACUGACAAUAAAUUUAGGAGUGGCAAAUGGAACCACUGUUCUGUUUCCCUCUCAGUAAAUAAAUAACUGCAAAACCUGUACUCCAAUACCAGAGCGUCAAAUCCAUGGCGCUCUGUUGAUUAACACCGAAAAUGUCUUUGUGAAGACGAUGCAUUUAGAAGAGUCCUAAGGCUCGCACCAGAAGCUGACACUGAAGGUUUAUUUUAAUGUAGCACAAAUCAGAGCGAACGAUGUGAAAAGAGUUCUGUUUCUCCUGGAAGGAUGCCACUUGUUUCUACUCCCAGGGAAAUGUCUUCCAAGCUCUUUACCAAAUCUGCAAGCUGAACCAACUCAACUGUGGCUGCCUUGCCCACCUGAAGACCUCAGGAUCCACCAGCAGCCCAAGACACCUCGGAAGCUGUUUCAAGGACAAGCGUCGCCUGCACACGUCAGCACAAAUGGGAACAUGAUGAGUGAUGCUGCCGGGAGUUAAAGGAGGCCAGGAGCACCAGAAGCUGGAGGAGGCCGGGGUGGAUUCUCCCCUGGAGGCUUCAGUGGGAGCACGGGCUCCCGACACUUCGGUUCCAUCUCUUGUUUAAAGGCACCUAGUUUCUCGUCAUUUGUUACAGCACCCUGGAAAACCCACACACAAGUGAAUCCCCGACCCACCUCCCAAGUGCCCAUCUGAGCACCCCUCGUGGACUCUGAGCAGGGGGUGGCCACCAUCAACUCCAAGUCUUGCAGCCCCUCUUCCCUUCAGUCUGGCUGCCACCUUCUUCAUUGCCCUGGAAAAAAAUAAUGAAGUUUCACCAUUUAAAGGGUUUCAGUGCAGCUUGCUAUGGGAACACUGGAGAGUAACACAAAUGGCCAAUUGUCCUAAUAGCCACCAUGGAUUGGAUGGAUGCUAACAACAGGCGCAGAGUUCUCCAUCUGUUGCCUCCUUUUAUCCACAUGAGAAUAAAACAAGACUACUGAUUAAAUGAAGCCUUUGAUGAAGUGCAUGCAGUUUGUAGCUUGAUUCGUGGGAAUACUCAUCACUGACUGAAAGUGUAACCCAGGGUCUCUGGGUUUUUGGGAACGCACUGUGUAAAAGUAUCUACUUGUAACUGUUACUCCCUGAGUUGUUGUUGUUUUAUAAAGUUCCAAGAAGAAGCUUAGCCUUGGAAAAAACAAAAACUGGUUGAAUCCAGAAGUGGAGAUGAAUUUUGGCCAACGCUCCUCACUGCCUCACUAAAAACCCUGCUCAGAGAGGAGCUUAUUCACCAUGUUCUAUUCAUGCAAUGUGUGUGGAAACAUGAUCUACAACAGCAUGCGUGCUGCCUUCACCCUACCUCUACAUACAAUGACUCAUUUAAUCUGCUGAAUAAAAGCCCUAUUUUCACCUUUGCUGGGGGAGGUGCUGCUUUGGGAACUAUUUGCAGUGUCCUCUUCACUUUUUGCAAGUAAUAGAAUACCCUUGUUAAAUCCUACUUGGUUGUGGUCAUUAUAGUGUCACCUGCCAAGCAAUUGGUCCCACCCAGGGUUAACAAAUGCGGGAUAACAAAUGUCAGGUUUUAGGCAAGUUACUUACUCGCUCAAAAUAUGAAGAUAUAAGUUACCAUCAGUUGUCAAUCAUGGUGAGCUUUGCUCUGCUGCAGUAACAGACAAUCGUAACUCUUAGUAGCUCUAAAUGACCAGUUUAAAUAACACCUCAUCUUUGUAGUUUUGAUAGCGACAGGAGGCAGCCAAAUGCCUAGGCAGGUAGGGGCAGGUUCCCCGUGAAACUCCAUCUCCAAGCCGAAGACAGUUUAGAGCCUGAAAGCCAAGCUCCACAUUAAAUCCUCUGACUGGAUUGAGAACUUGUCUUCCUGUUUGGUGUGCUUUUCUCUCAUUGGUCCCUGCCAUUCACCUAUUUCAUAUACACCUAACCUUUUCUAAUUGGUUUUCUAUACUGUCAUGCCCAACUUUGAGUGGUCUUUGCUUUAACCUUUUCUACAUAUUCACAAACCGAUCAGCAUGCACCCCCCAUUCUGAGUCCAUGAAAGGCUCUGGAUCUAGCCACACAGAGGAACUUUCCCAUCUUCAGGGAGAGGGGCCACCACCAACAUGUCCCCUCUCCACCAAAAGCUGUUUUCAUUGUUCAGUAAAAUUCUUCUCUGCCUUCCUCACCCUUCAAUGUCCAGCAUAUCCUCAUUCUUCUUGGGCAUGGUACAAGAGCACAGGAACCACUGAAGGUGGGUACAAGUUAUAAUACAGGCAAGUGGGGGCAUGCCAGCUUUGGCUGAGUCAGGACCAGGUCGAGCAUUACUAUCAGGGGAUCCCUGGCUUGCAAAGUGACCAAGAAGAAAAGUCUUACAUUAGUUUGGCUAGGGUGAGGCCCUGACCUCUGUUACCUUCUCUCAGCCAGUUCACUGAUGGUGACUCUGUAUUGAUAGGCACUCCACCCAGAAAUCGUGCACUCACAUUUCCUGGCCAACGAAAGUUACUCAGCUAUGCCUGAUUUUAAACUGCAAUCCUAACAUGACCCAGAAGGUGAAGAGCCAGAAAUAUUUGAUGACUACACUGAGCCCACUUUCCCUCACAGGCUUGUUUUGCAGGGUUAAUGAUUUAAGCCAUGUGAUGUAUGGUUCACAGGGUGCCUGGCACCUGCCAAGUAUUCUUCCCCCAGGAGUUGGCAGAUCCUUGAAGGCACUCUCUGGUUUAGACAUUCUUAGCUCCUUCCACUGUUCCUCAUGCUACAUUAUCUUAAAUCUUUUUAUUUUUACCAUCCUGGUUCGUCUCCUCUAAAAAUCCUACCCAAAUGUCCCUGUUAAUUCAUGAUCCACCAGAAACAAUCUUCCAGCUGAAUACAGAACCCAAGAGAACAAAAUGAUCUCCUUCCUUCUUCUAGAUUAUGCAUCCUAAAAUCUGACUGUUUUUUCUUUUCUGGCAAUCAGAGUGCACUGUUGAAUUUACUGUCAAUUAAACAUUCUCCAUCUCUUCUAUGUAUUUUUCUGUAUUUAGACAUUUUUCUCCAAUCCCAUACUUGUGUCAUUAGCUUUUCAGUCACAAAUAAAAGAAGUUUCACAUUGUUCCUUAUUAACGAGCAUCUGUUUGACUUGGCCCAUUCUUCCCAGCAGUUAUAAUUCAGACCAAGGUUGUUCUCAUCCAACAUUCAAACAAACACUAUGGAAUGGGAGAGGUAUGAAAGCAUUCAUCCCGACAAACAAUGGUCUCACCAUUUUG